rnacentral:lncRNA from 1 species
GCUUUCAAGCCUCCCUACACAAUGCGCUCUUGCCAGCACUUCAGGAUUCAGCUUAGCGGCGUGAUUCAGGCUGUUUCCAUUUUCCGAAUCAUCUUUCCCCACCCGAGGACCAUCGUCUGCCCUCACUUUGGCGGCAGCUGGAUCUGGGUCCACAUGCUAAAACCUUGGUCGACAGCCUGUGUUACUAUUAGAAUGUGUUGGAACCGUUGGAAGGUAGAGCCCAGUGGAAACAAGUUAGGUCGAUGGAAUGAACCCUUAGAGGAAAUUUGGUCUUGGCACUUCUCUCUUACCGGUUCCCAGCAAGGAUGCAUAUCAGAAUGGACUUUCUCUCCAGCCUGGCGUUUCUGUGUGCUGCUUAGGUAAUGGAAUGGCACUCAAGUCCCAAGGGAUAUGUUCCCAGAGGGAGCAUCUUCAGUGCUAUUCUGAAGGCACCGGGAUGUGUGACACAUGUGGCCAUGGAUCAACUCCUUCUUCAUUUAGAAACUCAUGUUUGUUUGCAAUGAGCUGUGAUGGAGUGGAAGAUGGUCUGUGGAAGGAUGAGGAGGGUUGUGCGCGGGAGCUUGCAUUGUUUGACCUUGCUUUUCUGGCUAGGCUGCACCAUCCAUCCUGCCGGAAGUGAUCCUUAGCAAGUCCUUUCGCUUCAUCAUGCCGGCUCCCGAAUGAAGACCCACACCUUUCAAAAUUGUUGAGAUUUCUUCAGUGGACAGCAGGAGUGAUUUAUUUUUCCAUCGCGGAUAUUAUCUCAUACAAAUAAAAAUUUUCUAAGUAAAAAC